rnacentral:rRNA from 1 species
UGGGGAAUAUUGCACAAUGGAGGGAACUCUGAUACAGCGACGCCGCGUGAGUGAUGAAGGAAUUCGUUUCGUAAAACUCUGUUCUAUGGGAAGAAAAGGACUGUACCAUAGGAGAAAGCUCCGGCUAAAUACGUGCCAGCAGCCGCGGUAAUACGUAUGGAGCGAGCGUUGUCCGGAAUUAUUGGGCGUAAAGGGUGCGCAGGCGGCUUUACAAGUUGGAUGUGAAAUAUUGUGGCUCAACCACAAACGUGCAUCCAAAACUGCAAAGCUUGAGUUAAGGAGAGGUAAGUGGAAGUCCUGGUGUAGAGGUGGAAUGCGUAGAUAUCAGGAGGAAUACCGGUGGCGAAGGCGACUUACUGGACUUAAACUGACGCUCAGGCACGAAAGCGUGGGGAGCAAACAGG